rnacentral:rRNA from 1 species
AUACGUAGGUGGCAAGCGUUGUCCGGAAUUAUUGGGCGUAAAGCGCGCGCAGGUGGUUCCUUAAGUCUGAUGUGAAAGCCCCCGGCUCAACCGGGGAGGGUCAUUGGAAACUGGGGAACUUGAGUGCAGAAGAGGAUAGUGGAAUUCCAAGUGUAGCGGUGAAAUGCGUAGAGAUUUGGAGGAACACCAGUGUCGAAGGCGAGUGUCUGGUCUGUAACUAACACGGAGGCGCGAAAGCGUGGGGAGCAAACAGGAUUAGAUACCCUGGUAGUUCACGCCGUAAACGAUGAGUGCUAAUUGUUGGGGGGUUUCCGCCCCUCAGUGCUGCAGCUAACGCAUUAAGCACUCCGCCUGGGGAGUACGGUCGCAAGACUGAAACUCAAAUGAAUUGACGGGG